rnacentral:rRNA from 1 species
UUUGGAUAAUGGGGGAAACCCUGAUCCAGCCAUCCCGCGUGUAUGAUGAAGGCCCUCGGGUUGUAAAGUACUUUUGGCUGAGAAGAAAAGGUAUCUCCUAAUACGAUAUAUUGCUGCCGGUACCUGACGAAUAAGCACCGGCUAAAUACGUGCCAGCAGCCGCGGUAAUACGUAGGGUGCAAGCUGUAAUCGGAAUUACUGGGCUUAAAGCGUGUGCAGGCGGUUCGGAAAGAAAGAUGUGAAAUCCCAGGGCUCAACCUUGGAACUGCAUUUUUAACUGCCGAACUAGAGUAUGUCAGAGGGGGGUAGAAUUCCACGUGUAGCAGUGAAAUGCGUAGAUAUGUGGAGGAAUACCGAUGGCGAAGGCAGCCCCCUGGGAUAAUACUGACGCUCAGACACGAAAGCGUGGGGAGCAAACA